AUUGAACGCUGGCGGCAGGCUUAACACAUGCAAGUCGAGCGGAGAGAGGUAGCUUGCUACUGAUCUUAGCGGCGGACGGGUGAGUAAUGCUUAGGAAUCUGCCUAUUAGUGGGGGACAACAUUUCGAAAGGAAUGCUAAUACCGCAUACGUCCUACGGGAGAAAGCAGGGGAUCUUCGGACCUUGCGCUAAUAGAUGAGCCUAAGUCGGAUUAGCUAGUUGGUGGGGUAAAGGCCUACCAAGGCGACGAUCUGUAGCGGGUCUGAGAGGAUGAUCCGCCACACUGGGACUGAGACACGGCCCAGACUCCUACGGGAGGCCGCAGUGGGGAAUAUUGGACAAUGGGCGGAAGCCUGAUCCAGCCAUGCCGCGUGUGUGAAGAAGGCCUUAUGGUUGUAAAGCACUUUAAGCGAGGAGGAGGCUACUUUAGUUAAUACCUAGAGAUAGUGGACGUUACUCGCAGAAUAAGCACCGGCUAACUCUGUGCCAGCCGCCGCAGUAA
rnacentral:rRNA from 1 species